AGAGCAGGUCGGGUGGUCGCCGCCGCAAGAGCCCGAAAGGGUGCGGGGGAGGAAAGUCCGAACACUACAGGGCAGCGAGCCAGCUAACGGCUGGGCGCGGGGCGGGCCGUUCUGGCCGGCCUUGCGACGACAAGUGCAACAGAGAAGAGACCAGCCAGCGGACUGCUUUUCGAAGCAGUAGCGGGUGAUGGGUGAAACGGUGCGGCCCCUUUGGGGCUUAAUGUAAGAGCGCACCGGCGCGCGUGGUAACACGUGCGGCCAGGCAAACUCCUCGCAGUGCAAGACCAAAUAGGGAGGCGUCAGACAGGGCUGCCCGCCCGAAACGCGUUUCAUGAAAAUGAACGUGUUACGACCUCCGGGUAGGUCGCUUGAUCCAACUGGCGACGGUUGGGCUAGAUGAAUGAUCGCCGCUCCGCAACACCUGCGGAGAACAGAAUUCGGCUUACAGACCUGCUCUCAAA
rnacentral:RNase_P_RNA from 1 species